CAUUGUAAAAAAACAUAUUUCUGUUCCGAGCUCACUGGCGCAGAAACUCUGGGGGCCAGGAAUAGUCUUGUUGAUGCAAUGUUGCAAGUUCGGUAGCAACAGCGUCUGGGCGGACCAAGUCAUGAUUUGAUACAAUAUUGCACUCACAAGCAAUAGCUCAAGUCAAGACGGAUAGAAAGAAAGGGAGGCAGACAGGCGCGGUGGAUAGAUGAAUCUACAUGAGCAACUUCCGGCCAGGUUGGAGCAGUGGCCCUGGUUUACAGAGCCCAGAGACAUGGCACCGGCCUGGGCACUCUGUACAGGAGCAUGGUGGGCAUGCACUGUAGCACUGUCAUCAUAACUCUGGACAGUGGCACAACCGAGGGGGAGGAGAAUGGGUCAGCCAAGAAAUUAAAAUACCCUUCAAAGUGGAAAGAAGAGGUUUGGAAUAGAAGGAGGAUGGAGGGUAAUCCUACCUUGGCAGUUAACUGUGGCAAUUGAUAUCUGCACUGUUUGAUUAUUUAUUACUUACAUGAUUCUUACUUGAAUACAUACCUUGGUGUUUAAUUCCAUGCUGAGUUGUCUGAUUUGCAUACUAAUAACAUGAUUGAUAUUGACGAUAUUUAUAUAUUAUUUUAUUUAUUUUUAUUUAUUUAUUUAUUGACUAUCCAUAACAUACAAUAUACUUGCCGUGAA